AUGAGCGGGGUUGGGGGCGCCGGAGGGCCUCGGUGCCAGGCGGCGCUAGCUGUGUUGGCCUCGCUGUGCCGGGCCCGGCCGCCCCCUCUCGGGCUGGACGUGGAGACUUGUCGGAGCUUCGAGCUGCAGCCCCCGGAGCGGAGUCCCAGCGCGGCCGGCGCAGGCACCUCUGUCAGCCUCGUCGCCCUGGUAGUUAUUGUGUGUGGCGUGGCCCUGGUGGCAGUUUUUCUCUUUCUCUUUUGGAAGCUGUGCUGGAUGCCCUGGAGGAACAAAGAGGCCUCCAGCCCUUCUGCUAACCCUCCCUCUGAGGCCCUCCCGAGUUCCUGCUCCAGAGGCAACAUGGCCGACAAGCUGAAGGACCCCAGCACCCUGGGCUUCCUGGAGGCAGCUGUGAAGAUCAGCCACACGUCCCCAGAUAUUCCAGCUGAGGUGCAAAUGUCCGUCAAAGAGCACGUCAUGCGUCACACACGGCUGCAGCGACAGACCACAGAGCCAGCGUCAUCUACCAGGCACACAUCCUUCAAGCGCCACCUGCCACGGCAGAUGCAUGUCUCCAGUGUAGACUAUGGCAAUGAGCUGCCGCCAGCAGCUGAGCAGCCCACUAGCAUUGGCCGCAUCAAGCCGGAGCUCUACAAGCAAAAGUCAGUGGAUGGGGAUGAGGCCAAGUCUGAAGCCGCCAAGAGCUGCGGGAAGAUCAACUUUAGCCUGCGCUAUGACUAUGAGAGUGAGACUCUGAUUGUACGCAUCCUGAAGGCCUUUGACCUCCCUGCCAAGGACUUUUGUGGAAGCUCUGAUCCUUAUGUGAAGAUCUACCUCUUGCCUGACCGCAAAUGCAAGCUGCAGACCCGGGUGCACCGUAAGACCCUGAACCCCACCUUUGAUGAGAACUUCCACUUCCCAGUGCCCUACGAGGAGCUGGCUGACCGCAAGCUGCAUCUCAGUGUCUUUGACUUUGACCGCUUUUCCCGCCAUGACAUGAUCGGGGAGGUCAUCCUGGAUAACCUCUUUGAGGCUUCUGACCUGUCUCGGGAGACAUCCAUCUGGAAGGACAUCCAGUAUGCCACCACCGAAAGCGUGGACUUGGGAGAGAUCAUGUUCUCCCUCUGCUACCUGCCCACGGCGGGCAGGCUCACCCUCACGGUGAUCAAGUGUCGUAACCUCAAGGCGAUGGACAUCACAGGCUAUUCAGAUCCCUAUGUCAAAGUGUCCCUGCUUUGUGAUGGACGGAGGCUGAAGAAGAAGAAAACCACCAUCAAGAAAAACACCCUCAACCCUGUCUACAAUGAGGCCAUCAUCUUUGACAUCCCCCCAGAAAACAUGGAUCAAGUCAGCCUGCUCAUCUCGGUUAUGGACUAUGAUCGUGUGGGCCACAAUGAGAUCAUAGGAGUCUGUCGAGUGGGAAUCAAUGCUGAAGGAUUGGGCAGAGACCACUGGAAUGAGAUGCUGGCCUACCCACGGAAGCCCAUUGCACACUGGCACUCCUUGGUGGAGGUAAAGAAAUCCUUCAAAGAGGGAACCCCUCGGUUGUGAUUUCACUCACGUGGAUGCUGCAAGCAGAGAGACUGCCACCGGAGUUAGGAUGGCAAGGCCGAGCUGCCAGCUUCGACAGCGAGAGCUCAUGCCCAUCUCCGAAGCCACCUCCAACACCAUGAGCUGCGCGGCCGAGCCACACUGGAGGACUCAGCGGUCCUGUCACACUUGUUCAGCCGUCUAAAUGCAGUGUUGUGCAGUCACAGCGGCAGUGGCGGCAGCUGCCUGCCACUCCAUGGCCUUAACUGCUCCUGUCUGUAGGUCAAGGCCGAGACACUUGUCGUGUGGUCAGAUCUGUCUUAGUCUUUUCUGUCUCCCAAGGUGAUUUUUUUUUU